AAGCAGUGAACUUAAGCCCCAGUAAACGGCGGCCGUAACUAUAACGGUCCUAAGGUAGCGAAAUUCCUUGUCGGGUAAGUUCCGACCCGCACGAAAGGCGUAACGAUUUGGGCACUGUCUCAACAACAGACUCGGUGAAAUUGUAAUUCCGGUGAAGAUGCCGGAUACCUGCGACAGGACGGAAAGACCCCAUGGAGCUUUACUGUAGCUUGACAUUGGGUCUUGGUACUACAUGUACAGGAUAGGUGGGAGGCUUUGAAACCAGGACGCCAGUUUUGGCGGAGCCAUCCUUGGGAUACCACCCUUGUAGUACUGGGACUCUAACCAUAGGCCAUGAAUCUGGUCUUGGGACACUGUCAGGUGGGCAGUUUGACUGGGGCGGUCGCCUCCCAAAAGGUAACGGAGGCGCUCAAAGGUUCUCUCAGUACGGUCGGAAAUCGUACGUAGAGUGUAAAGGCAAAAGAGAGCUUGAUUGCAAGACAUACAGGUCGAGCAAGGAUGAAAAUCGGACUUAGUGAUCCGGUGGUUCUGCGUGGAAGGGCCAUCGCUCAACGGAUAAAAGCUACCCUGGGGAUAACAGGCUUAUCUCCCCCAAGAGUCCACAUCGACGGGGAGGUUUGGCACCUCGAUGUCGGCUCAUCACAUCCUGGGGCUGUAGUAGGUCCCAAGGGUUGGGCUGUUCGCCCAUUAAAGUGGUACGCGAGCUGGGUUCAGAACGUCGUGAGACAGUUCGGUCCCUAUCCGUCGCAGGCGUAGGAAAUUUGAGAAGACCUGUCCUUAGUACGAGAGGACCGGGAUGGACGUACCUCUGGUGUACCAGUUGUCCUGCCAAGGGCAUGGCUGGGUAGCUAUGUACGGAAUGGAUAAGCGCUGAAAGCAUCUAAGCGCGAAGCCAACUUCAAGAUAAGAUUUCCCACCGCAAGGGUAAGACCCCAGAAAGACUAUCUGGUUGAUAGGUCGAAGGUGUAAGUGCAGCAAUGUAUUUAGCUUAUCGAUACUAAUAGGUCGAGGACUUGACCAA
rnacentral:rRNA from 1 species